rnacentral:rRNA from 1 species
GGGGAAUAUUGGACAAUGGGCGAAAGCCUGAUCCAGCCAUGCCGCGUGUGUGAAGAAGGCCUUUUGGUUGUAAAGCACUUUAAGCGAGGAGGAGGCUACCGAGAUUAAUACUCUUGGAUAGUGGACGUUACUCGCAGAAUAAGCACCGGCUAACUCUGUGCCAGCAGCCGCGGUAAUACAGAGGGUGUGAGCGUUAAUCGGAUUUACUGGGCGUAAAGCGUGCGUAGGCGGCUUUUAAGUCGGAUGUGAAAUCCCUGAGCUUAACUUAGGAAUUGCAUUCGAUACUGGGAAGCUAGAGUAUGGGAGAGGAUGGUAGAAUUCCAGGUGUAGCGGUGGAAUGCGUAGAGAUCUGGAGGAAUACCGAUGGCGAAGGCAGCCAUCUGGCCUAAUACUGACGCUGAGGUACGAAAGCAUGGGGAGCAAAC